rnacentral:rRNA from 1 species
UACGAAGGGGGCUAGCGUUGCUCGGAAUCACUGGGCGUAAAGCGCACGUAGGCGGCUUUCUAAGUCAGGGGUGAAAUCCUGGAGCUCAACUCCAGAACUGCCUUUGAUACUGGAGAGCUCAAGUCCGGAAGAGGUGAGUGGAACUCCGAGUGUAGAGGUGAAAUUCGUAGAUAUUCGGAAGAACACCAGUGGCGAAGGCGGCUCACUGGUCCGGUACUGACGCUGAGGUGCGAAAGCGUGGGGAGCAAACAGG